rnacentral:rRNA from 1 species
UACGUAGGUGGCAAGCGUUGUCCGGAAUUAUUGGGCGUAAAGCGCGCGCAGGUGGUUUCUUAAGUCUGAUGUGAAAGCCCACGGCUCAACCGUGGAGGGUCAUUGGAAACUGGGGGAACUUGAGUGCAGGAGAGAAGAGUGGAAUUCCACGUGUAGCGGUGAAAUGCGUAGAGAUGUGGAGGAACACCAGUGGCGAAGGCGACUCUUUGGCCUGUAACUGACACUGAGGCGCGAAAAGCGUGGGGGAGC